rnacentral:lncRNA from 1 species
GGCCAACCUCUAUCAAAAUAUUACUAGAAAUAAAUAUGAGUUAUCUUCAUUUAGAAGUAAAGUGAAAUAAAAUAACACCAUUGUACAGUAUCUUUCAGGAUUACCCUUGAAAAAUAAAAAAAAAAUGAAAAAAAAAAAACUCUUUCUAAAGAGCAUGUUACUUGGCAGCACACUUCAUCCUUAAUUUCACGUGGAAAAAGCAGUUACCUCAGGUAAGAAGGUACAUAAGAAGGUACAUAAAAUAAUAAGAAGAAAUCAAGACUUGGUCAAGGGGUUAGAAGGAACUUUGAAGAGUAUAAAAUUUGGGGGGUACAGUAAUAAGGAUGGAUCUCUGAGAGAGACAAUGCAGUGUAAAUAUCAUGGGAUUUCAUGCUAUCACAUACCAAAGCACACACAUCAUGGACAUUGUACAAGACAACCAAGUUGACAACUGGACUUGGCUAGUUGUUUUUAUCCAGCCUCUGAUGCUGCACAGGAUGAAUGAGGACUGAGUAAAAUAAUGGUUUCCAGUUACCAUAUUUUAUCUAUCAAAUGCUUCUUCCAAAUAUCUAGCCAGCUAGGAGGAGAGAUCUAUCUCUAGGUUCCUGUUAAAGCAUCAUUCUUUUCAUCAUUUUCUCAUAAUAAAUUAACAAGUGGACGUCUUUUAACCCAGAAACAAUUUUAACCAGAAAAACCCAAACAUUUUUUUUUUAAUUUUGCUUUUACAGACAAUAAAUGCUAAGCAAGUACCACUAAUAAAGUGUCAAUACAUCAUGCCUAAAAUCGAAUCAGAUCACACUUAACAAAAAUAAAGAUAUUACUAUUGGUCUAUGACCAUGGUAUCCAC